UGGGGGCGGCAGGGGAAGAAACGGGUGUGGGACAGUUAUGUGAGCUGUCAGAAGGACUCGGAAAAUACUGCAGAGUGAUUGAGAGUGCAGAGGGGCCUGGGUUCUCAUCUGUGCGCCCUCUCAUCCUAGCUGGGUUAUCCAGGGCCCCUUGAAAGGCUCUGCUAAGCCUGGGUUUCCAGGACAGCAAUAAGGUCGCUGUGAUAAACAUAAUGUAGGUAAGCAGUUGGCACAGUGCCUUGCAUAGAAUAGUCCUCAGAUGUUUACUAUUGUCGUUAUUGAUAUUAUUAAUAAAAGUGACCUAGCUCCUCCCCUCGAGAAGUUCACAAGGGGCCCAAAUGUGACAGGGGGAGCUAUGAGAAGGCAGGAGGUGACUUCCUGCCAAAGAGGGAGCUAGGGCAAGGAGAAGGCGCCGCCAAGCCUGCGUUCCCCUUCGCACGCGGCUGGCCUCGGUGGCCACAAGGGGAGCUCAGCAAGGCCGGGGGUUCGGGAGGCGGGUCCUGCACAGCGACUCAGCCUCCUCCGUGUGGCCGCAGGCCUGGAGAGUAUGGCGCCGCACGCCCCUCGCCGGCUUGCCCGAGAGGCGACAGCGCGGCGCCGGGAGGCUGGCGUCCAAUUUAAUCACCAGGCCGCGCGGGACGGAGGCCGGGGGUCCCUAUUUUCCGUCAGGGUUCGCGGUCACGAGUGGAGCCCACCGAGCACUCUACUUCCCUGGCAUUUUCACAGCAUUAACUGGAUGACAGAGUCUAGAGGCAGGGCUCGCGCCGACACUGACUAGCAACGCCGACCUCGGAACCGCGCCCGGCCGCGCGCCCCUGCCCCUUGCCCCCUGCCCCCUCCCGCACCGGGCCGGCUCCCCCUCCCGGCCGGGCUCGGCGGCGCGGGCGCGGGGGCGUGGGCGGAGCCGCGGCGCAGCAGUUCAUUACGUUGGACAGGGCGCGUCUGCGCCUCGGGCUGCCGCGGCUCUCCUGGCCUCCGCCUGCAGCCGGCAGCGGAACGGGGGCAGGCGGCUGAGACGGGCGAGCUAUUUGCAUUCCCCGGCAGUCAUUUUUAUAUGCGGAGGUGCUUUGGAACAGGGCAGGGAUGGAGGGAAGGUCCUUGUAUCUUAAACAUCAAACGCCCAGGAAAAUAAUUAGGAGGUGUUUGGGAUUCUGCUGAAAACCCUGACGACAGACCAGAAAUAUCUCCAAGAGCACCAGCAACCCCAGCUAUCUGGACCCGAAGUGGAUAUGCUUAGAGGCAUCCUGGCCCACCCCGCCCCUGACCCCAGAGAAGAUGCUGCCGCACUCAGAAGACGCCAGAGCCAGCCACACUGCAGGUCUGGAAGGAUCAAGCAAGGCAGCCUGCUCAGUGAAGGCUUCCUCUCCUGUAGCAGGAAGAGCAACGUUAACAAAUACGCAGGGCUGGACUACCCUGGAGAUGUAAUGACCAGAGCUGAGACCCCCGAAACCAGAGUGACUAUGGAGGACUUUCAUCACCUUGUUCCUGAACAUCUAAUGCCUCUCAGCUCCAGGAGGCCACUGAGGUGAAACUGAAGUCUAGUUUUCCUUGGAAGCCAGCAGCCUGUCCACCUGCCCCACUUCCCUGCCUCUUGCAGCCUCCACUCAAACACUACCAUGGUUUGGGAACACUAAAAAACUAGAAAAUACAGAAAUAUAUCAAGAAGAAAAAAAUUUAAAAAUCAACCUGAAUCCCACCAACCAGAGACAGCUAUUAAUGAUUGUGGUAUAUUUAUUGAAUUUACUAAAGUCAUGUAUGCUAGGCACUGUGGAGGACUGCAAAAAGAUUUCAAGGGCUGCACCAUCUUGUUGGAAAGAUGCCUAGACAGCAUUUGAGGAACACUGAUUGUGUUUGAUGACACAUAGCUGCUAACAGUUACAUGGAACUUUCUAUAUGCUGUAUACAAACAUACAAAUGUAUGUAUGUAUAUUUACUUAACCCUCACAACAGCUAUUGCUACUAUUAUGAAUCCUGUUUUAACAUGAGAAAACCAAAACAUGGAGAGGUUAAGUAAUUUGCCCAAGAUUACACAGCUAAUAUUGGUGGAACUGUGAUUAGGAUCCAGGCAUUCAGGUUCCAGAGUUCAUACUCUUCACAUACCACAUGUAUCUUGAAUAUAACAAUAUAGAGAAAAUGAAUUGUAGAAAGUACAUGUCUAGGUAAGCAUUUUCCAGAGGUGACUUUUUUUUUUUUUGCAUUGGGUUUAUAAACUUUCAACAAUAAAGCAGGUUGGACUUUA